rnacentral:rRNA from 1 species
GUCUAUGGCCAUACCACCCUGAACGCGCCCGAUCUCGUCUGAUCUCGGAAGCUAAGCAGGAUCGGGCCUGGUUAGUACUUGGAUGGGAGAGGGUAGAUAAUGUGAAUUUUAGAUU